rnacentral:rRNA from 1 species
GAUGAACGCUGGCGGCAUGCCUAAUACAUGCAAGUCGAGCGAACAGACGAGGAGCUUGCUCCUCUGACGGUGGAGGCGGAGGGAUGAGUAACACGGGGAUGACCUACCUAUAAGACUGGGGUAACUACGGGGGACCGGGGCUAAUACCGGAUAAUAUAUUGAACCGGGUGGGUCAAUAGUUGAAGAAGGUUUUGCUGUCGGUAAUAGAUGGAUAAGCGCCGCAUUAGCUAGUUGGUAAGGGAAAGGCUUAGCCAGGCAACGAUGCGUAGCCGACCUGAGAGGGUGAUCGCCCACACUGGAACUGAGACACGGCCCAGACUCUUACAGGAGGCCGCAGUAGGGAAUCUUACGCGAUGGGCGAAAGCCUGACGGAGCAAAGCCGCGGGAGUGAUGAACGUCCUCGGACGGGAAAACUCUGUUAUUCGGGAAGAAGAAAUGCUCUAGUACCCAUGCUGGUCUUGACGGUACCUAAUCAGAAAGCCCCGGCUAACUACGUG